AGGAGUAAAAGAUUGCUUCCCAGAAGCCAAGAGAAGAAGUCAGACCUCUCUUUGGGAAAGGUGUCUGCACCUGCACAGCCAACAUUUCUGGGUCACAUGGUUCUGGAGUGAAGGAUUCUGAAGCCCACGUUCUUCUAAAGGGAAUCCAAAGAGGUUCUUUCUUGUUCCAUGUGAUCAAAAAGUCAGGAGUAGCUCUAGGAGCCAAGCUGGUGGAGGUUUUGUGUGGCGUUGGACCUUAGUCCGACUACACAGUUGUGCCGCAAGUCCCCAGGGGUGGCAACUCAUCAUUUCUGCCACAUUGAGCAGCUCUCCUUGGCAGCUUACCAUCAAGCCGUGACUUGGCCCAUGGGCUCCUUCCAUUACCUGGCAAUACCCCACGGGAGUCCUUUGCUUCAAGCCACUGGGACAAGGAAAGUCAGGCAUCUCUUCAUCGUCUCAGCCUGGAUGUUAAGCAAUUUAACAUCUCUUAAUCGUCUCAGCCUGGAUGUUGAUCAAUUUUCAUUGAUCAAAACUCAAUCACAUAGUUCACCAGACUUUGGGAGAGUCUAGGGAAAAUGUAAUCUUCCUGUGUGGCCACAAAAAUACAAAGGACAUCAUCUGAUGGAUGUUACCUCUAUCCUCAUAGAUGUUUAAGUAAAAACUAUUGAAUAAUUGAAUUAAUUUACUUCUAAAACUGGGUCUGCUUUGAUUUUGUUCUUCCUGGUGUAGACUUGUAACUUGUACAUUUUUUAAUAAUAGCACUUUGUGGUUUUUAUUUCUUUUUGGGACUGUUUUAAUAGGUUAUACUUUUCUAGAAAAUGAUCCACUAAAGUCUUCAAAUAUAGUAGCCUAAGUUAUUUCCAGUAUUAGCUUUGUUUUUGUAAUCUCUGCUGCCUUUAUUGCUGUGUUCUGUUUCUUAUUUCUAAAUUGUAUUGUUUGUAGGCCUUCUCUUUCUUUUCUGUGGUCAUUCUUGAUAGGUUUUUUUCUAUUGUUUUGUCUUCUUAAGAAGCCAGCAUUUGGCUUUGUUGACCAGGUCUGCUGUAUCUUUAUUUCAGUUGCAUUCAUUUUUCCUUUUAUUCUUAUAUUCAAUUUCUUUUAUAUUCUCCCAGUUUUUUUCUUUCUAAUCUUAUGAAGUGGACAAGUUGCUCAGUAAUUUGUAGCCCUUUUUGUUUUCUAAGUUUAAAAAAAUUUUCUAAAUACUAUUUCAACUAUAUCCCAUAAAUUUA
rnacentral:lncRNA from 10 species